rnacentral:rRNA from 1 species
UACGUAGGGUGCAAGCGUUGUCCGGAAUUAUUGGGCGUAAAGAGCUCGUAGGCGGUUCGUCGCGUCGGCUGUGAAAACCUGAGGCUCAACCUCAGGCCUGCAGUCGAUACGGGCGGACUUGAGUACUGCAGGGGAGACUGGAAUUCCUGGUGUAGCGGUGAAAUGCGCAGAUAUCAGGAGGAACACCGGUGGCGAAGGCGGGUCUCUGGGCAGUGGCUGAUGCUGAGGCGCGACAGCGUGGGGAGCAAACAGG